UACGGGGGGGGGCUAGUGUCAUUCGCAAUGACUGGGCAUAAAGGGUUCGUAGGCUUUUUUAGAUCACCUUUUAUAACUGCAACCGGUUACCAUAUCACCGGUAAGGUUGUAAUUGGUCGCUGGAAUGGAGUGUAGUAAAGGAGAAGCUGGUACUUACAAAGGAGGGGUAAAAUCCUAAGAUUUUUACAAGGGACCAUCGUAAGGUGAAGACGAGAGUUCCCAAACUAUCACUGACGCUGAGGGACGAGAGCAUGGGGAGGCGAAUAGG
rnacentral:rRNA from 1 species